rnacentral:misc_RNA from 1 species
GUCAUGACCAGCAACUGCCUGCAUAAUGAAACUUGUUCCAGAGGGCAAGGUGCAAGAGGAAGCAAAAGGUUCACUGGAGAGGGAAGGAGAACUGAUAAAAUGAGGUUAGGUUCUAGGGUGAAUGGCACAAUCUGCAUCGCUGAUCUUACAAUUGGAGGAAUAGGUUAUGUACCCAAGGCUAUCCAGUCAACUAAAUAUAAUGCCCAUAGAAACUGCACCUACAGCUCUU